GACGAACGCUGGCGGCGUGCCUAAUACAUGCAAGUAGAACGCUGAAGGAGGAGCUUGCUUCUCUGGAUGAGUUGCGAACGGGUGAGUAACGCGUAGGUAACCUGCCUUGUAGCGGGGGAUAACUAUUGGAAACGAUAGCUAAUACCGCAUAAGAGUAGAUGUUGCAUGACAUUUACUUAAAAGUUGCAAUUGCAUCACUACCAGAUGGACCUGCGGUGUAUUAGCUAGUUGGUGAGGUAACGGCUCACCAAGGCAACGAUACAUAGCCGACCUGAGAGGGUGAGCGGCCACACUGGGACUGAGACACGGCACAGACUCCUACAGGAGGCAGCAGUAGGGAAUCGGCGGCAAUGGACGGAAGUCUGACCGAGCAACGCCGAGUGAGUGAAGAAGGUUGUCGGAUGGUAAAGCUCUGUUGUAAGAGAAGAACGAGUGUGAGAGUGGAAAGUUCACAGUGUGACGGUAUCUGACCAGAAAGGGACGGCUAACUACGUG
rnacentral:rRNA from 1 species